GAUCCUGGCUCAGAUUGAACGCUGGCGGCAUGCUUUACACAUGCAAGUCGAACGGUAACAGGUUAAACUGACGAGUGGCGAACGGGUGAGUAAUGCAUCGGAACGUGCCCAGUCGUGGGGGAUAACGCAGCGAAAGCUGUGCUAAUACCGCAUACGAUCUAUGGAUGAAAGCGGGGGACCGUAAGGCCUCGCGCGAUUGGAGCGGCCGAUGUCAGAUUAGCUAGUUGGUGGGGUAAAGGCCCACCAAGGCGACGAUCUGUAGCUGGUCUGAGAGGACGACCAGCCACACUGGAACUGAGACACGGUCCAGACUCCUACGGGAGGCAGCAGUGGGGAAUUUUGGACAAUGGGCGCAAGCCUGAUCCAGCAAUGCCGCGUGCAGGAAGAAGGCCUUCGGGUUGUAAACUGCUUUUGUACGGAACGAAACGGUCUGGGCUAAUACCCCGGGCUAAUGACGGUACCGUAAGAAUAAGCACCGGCUAACUACGUG
rnacentral:rRNA from 1 species